GUUUUCCACACUGGCUUACCUUGCUCAGGAGCAGCAGCUGCAGGCUCCGAGGAGCUGGCUGCUGUCUCAGCUGCUGCUGGAGCUUCAGCAGAAGCUUCUUCAGGCGCCGCCGCAGGAGCUUCCUCGGUCGCUGCUGUUUCUGCAGGUGCUUCUGCGGCCGCUGUUUCUGCGGGCGCUGCUGCCGUUUCUGCAGGCGGGGGCUCCUCCCCUGCAGGUGGAGGUGCUGCAGUGUUU